UUUACAUAGUGUACAUAUUAAAAUGUGUUAAUUUUUUAAUGUAACAACUAAAUGUAAGAGUAAAUUGUAACUUCAUUAAUUUUCAUCAUUUGUAAUUUUAUUGCAGAAGUGGUGACAGUUCCAGAUCCCCCUGUACCUGGACCCUCUGUAUCAGCCCGCCCACCUGUACGUGUACAAUCAGACCCCUUUGAUAGUGACAGUGACCCAGAUGACCCUGAGCCUUUCCAUGGUUUUGAUGCCUCGCCCUAUACAUCAGAUCUAGAUGUUCCCUCAUCAGUUGAUACGAGUAUCACCUCUCCAGAGCCCAAAUCAGUUGAUACGAGUAGUAUCACCUCUCCCAUUCCUUCAGACUCCCAAGCACCUGCCCAUCCCACUCCAUAGCCCAGCCACCCACUCUCAUGUACCAUAUGGCCAUCCCAGUAAGCAAGCCAACCACUAGAAUUUGACUGGCAUGCACCUGUGACUUACAUAAACCAGACCUCUACAUAGCCUACAUGUCUUCAUUUUGCUGAAGACUGCCCAUCAUCCUAGCCUGUUAUCUGUGAUAAAGCACACUGAAGUUAGGUUUGGAAUGCAUCCUUAUCAUGAAUGCUCUAUACCUCCACCUCCAUCUCCCACAACCUAGGUAACAGCUUUGAGACUCACUAAAAGUUGGUAAGUUAUGUAAGGAAUUUCUAAAUUAAGUUUUAUACUACAUGUUAUAUGUGAUAUUAAACCACUGUAUGGUGCAUAUUACUGUAUGUAACUUA